UCUCUUUACAAAGGAGGUGGCGCUGACACACACCUUGCUUACAGGGUUGUCUAGCUUCUACCCAACUGCAGCAGAAGCACAACAGCAUCAAGGGCAGAGACCUGUGUCUGGGUUACAGGGAGCUCGCCAAAGGCUCACACAGCCAAAAUCUGGCUAAGACAUGAUAGAGACCUAAAGGGAGGGAGGUUGCUCUGUCCAGAGUCCCUUGCC